AGUGAACGCUGGCGGUAGGCCUAACACAUGCAAGUCGAACGGCAGCACAGUAAGAGCUUGCUCUUACGGGUGGCGAGUGGCGGACGGGUGAGGAAUACAUCGGAAUCUACUUUUUCGUGGGGGAUAACGUAGGGAAACUUACGCUAAUACCGCAUACGACCUACGGGUGAAAGCAGGGGAUCUUCGGACCUUGCGCGAUUGAAUGAGCCGAUGUCGGAUUAGCUAGUUGGCGGGGUAAAGGCCCACCAAGGCGACGAUCCGUAGCUGGUCUGAGAGGAUGAUCGGCCACACUGGAACUGAGACACGGUCCAGACUCCUACGGGAGGCAGCAGUGGGGAAUAAUGGACAAUGGGCGCAAGCCUGAUCCAGCCAUACCGCGUGGGUGAAGAAGGCCUUCGGGUUGUAAAGCCCUUUUGUUGGGAAAGAAAAGCAGCAGGUUAAUACCCCGCUGUUCUGACGGUACCCAAAGAAUAAGCACCGGCUAGCUUCGUG
rnacentral:rRNA from 1 species